rnacentral:rRNA from 1 species
AUUGAACGCUGGCGGCAUGCCUUACACAUGCAAGUCGAACGGUAACUCGCCUUCAGUUGCCGUCUAUUGUCGGCCGCGUGAGUAAUACAACCGAACGUCCCACAUAGUUGUUGAAAACGCAGCGCAACCUUUACCAAUAGCUCAUACGAGAUAAGGCUUCAAUCAGCGGGCCGCAAGGCCUUUAGCCGGUGCUGCGGCCCCUGGCAGAUUGAGUAGUUGGUCGUAUAAAAGCUUACCAAGCCGACGCUCUGUAGCUGGUCUGAGAGGAGGAUCAGCCACACUGGGACUGAGACACGGCCCAGACUCCUACGGGAGGCAGCAGUGGGGAAUUGUGGACAAUGGGCGCAAGCCUGAUCCAGCCAUGCCGCGUGCAGGAUGAAGGCCUUCGGGUUGUAAACUGCUUUUGUACGGAACGAAAAGCCUUCUUUUAAUAUAGGCGCGUCAUGACGGUACCGUAAGAAAAGGCACCGGCUAACUACGUG